UUGGAAGUAAAAGUCGUAACGAGGUUUCCGUAGGUGAACUUGCGGAAGGAUUGUUG
rnacentral:rRNA from 1 species